UGGGGAAUAUUGCACAAUGGGCGCAAGCCUGAUGCAGCCAUGCCGCGUGUAUGAAGAAGGCCUUCGGGUUGUAAAGUACUUUCAGCGGGGAGGAAGGCGAUAAGGUUAAUAACCUUGUCGAUUGACGUUACCCGCAGAAGAAGCACCGGCUAACUCCGUGCCAGCAGCCGCGGUAAUACGGAGGGUGCAAGCGUUAAUCGGAAUUACUGGGCGUAAAGCGCACGCAGGCGGUUUGUCAAGUCAGAUGUGAAAUCCCCGGGCUCAACCUGGGAACUGCAUUCGAAACUGGCAGGCUAGAGUCUUGUAGAGGGGGGUAGAAUUCCAGGUGUAGCGGUGAAAUGCGUAGAGAUCUGGAGGAAUACCGGUGGCGAAGGCGGCCCCCUGGACAAAGACUGACGCUCAGGUGCGAAAGCGUGGGGAGCAAACA
rnacentral:rRNA from 1 species